GGAGAGGUGGCAGAAUGGUAAUGCACCAGUCUUGAAAACUGGCGCCCGAAAGGGCUUGCAGGUUCGACUCCUGUCCUCUCCG
rnacentral:tRNA from 1 species